rnacentral:rRNA from 1 species
UGGGGAAUUGUUCGCAAUGGGCGCAAGCCUGACGACGCAACGCCGCGUGGAGGACGAAGAUCUUCGGGUCGUAAACUCCUUUCGAUCGGGAAGAACGUUUCCGGGGUGAAUAAUCCCGGGAAGUGACGGUACCGAGAGAUGAAGCCCCGGCUAACUCCGUGCCAGCAGCCGCGGUAAUACAGAGGGGGCAAGCGUUGUUCGGAAUUACUGGGCGUAAAGGGCGCGUAGGCGGCCCGCUAAGUCGAACGUGAAAUCCCCGAGCUCAACUCGGGAACUGCGUCCGAUACUGGCGGGCUUGAAUCCGGGAGAGGGAUGCGGAAUUCCAGGUGUAGCGGUGAAAUGCGUAGAUAUCUGGAGGAACACCGGUGGCGAAGGCGGCAUCCUGGACCGGCAUUGACGCUGAGGCGCGAAAGCUAGGGGAGCAAAC